AGUGAACGCUGGCGGUAGGCCUAACACAUGCAAGUCGAACGGCAGCACAGUAAGAGCUUUCCCUUGCGGGUGGCGAGUGGCGGACGGGUAAGGAAUGCAUCGGAAUCUACUUUUUCGUGGGGGAUAACGUAGGAAAACUUCCGAUAAUACCGAAUACGACCUACGGGUGAAAGCAGGAGAUCUUCGGACCUUGCGCGUCUGAAUGAGCCGAUGUCGGAUUAGCUAGUUGGGAGGGUAAAGGCUCACCCAGGCAACGAUGCGUAGCCGGCCUGAGGGGAUGAUCGGCCGCACUGGAACUGAGACACGGUCCAGACUCCUACGGGAGGCAGCAGUAGGGAAUCUUCCGCAAUGGGCGAGAGCCUGACGGCGCAACGCCGCGUGAAUGAUGAAGGUCUUCGGAUCGUAAAACUCUGUUAUUAGGGAAGAACAAAUGGGUAAGUAACUAUGCACGUCUUGACGGUACCUAAUCAGAAAGCCACGGCUAACUACGUG
rnacentral:rRNA from 1 species